CACAAACGUUGCUUCGUUAGAAAAUUCGCAAUAAUAGAAAUGGCGAUUUUCACCGUUAUAUUUGGCUAAUGAAUCCGAAUUUAAAUAAUUAAAAAUGAAAUUAAAGCUAAAAUUUUCGCUUAGAUCUGAAAAACACCUGGCCAAGCGGUAAGAAUAUUUAAUAUACACCAGAAGAGGCAGAGCCCGAAGUGUGAAACACACCAAAUAACAAGACAUUGCAAGCAACGCCUGGCAGGCCUCUUGUGGGCCUUGUGGAGUGGAGUUAUCUGGAUAAUAAGUGCGGCUGGAUAAUACCCACAUUGCCAAAGGUACCUUUCCUUACUCCGUUUGUAGAAAAUCGCGGCAUUCAGUUGUUUCAAGCAAUAAGGAAAGUGUGAUGUACCGAUUCACCUUAAGAAAUGAAGCACCUUCAGAGUGGAAUGUUGUUACCAUGUUUCCAUGUGAUGUUCUGAAGUGAUAUUUAGGAAUAGGAGAAUCAACGUCGAAAGGGGGUAUGUUGGCAACCGCCGUCGAUUCCCCUAGC